CCUACGGGAGGCAGCAGUGAGGAAUAUUGGUCAAUGGGCGCAAGCCUGAACCAGCCAAGUCGCGUGAAGGAGUACUGCCCUAGGGGUUGUAAACUUCUUUUGUCGGGAAGCAAAAGGCGGACGUGUCCGGGUGUGAGAGUACCGGAAGCAAAAGCAUCGGCUAACUCCGUGCCAGCAGCCGCGAUAAUACGGGGGAUGCGAGCGUUAUCCGGAUUUAUUGGGUUUAAAGGGUGAGCAGGCGGAGUGUUAAGUCAGCGGUAAACUCAUGGGGCGUACCCACAGCCAGCCGUUGAAACUGGGGAUCUAGAGUGCUCGAGAGGUAUGCGGAAUGCGUGGUGUAGCGGUGAAAUGCAUAGAUAUCACGCAGAACCCCGAUUGCGAAGGCAGCAUACCGGUGAACAACUGACGCUGAGGCACGAAAGCGUGGGUAGCGAACAGGAUUAGAUACCCCGGUAGUC
rnacentral:rRNA from 1 species